rnacentral:tRNA from 1 species
GGAGGAGUGGCCGAGUGGUCAAUGGCAACGGACUGUAAAUCCGUCCUCUUACGAGUUCGCAGGUUCAAAUCCUGCCUCCUCCACCA